CCUGGCUCAGGACGAACGCUGGCGGCGUGCUUAACACAUGCAAGUCGAACGGAGAUUCAGCAAUGGAUCUUAGUGGCGAACGGGUGAGUAACGCGUAGGCAAUCUGCCUUCUAGAUGGGGACAACAUCCCGAAAGGGGUGCUAAUACCGAAUGUUGUACCGUUUCCGCAUGGAGAUGAUACUAAAGGCGGCCUCUGAAUAUGCUACCGCUAGAAGAUGAGCCUGCGUCUGAUUAGCUAGUUGGAGGGGUAACGGCCCACCAAGGCUUCGAUCAGUAGCCGGUCUGAGAGGAUGAACGGCCACACUGGGACUGAGACACGGCCCAGACUCCUACGGGAGGCAGCAGUGGGGAAUCUUCCGCAAUGGACGAAAGUCUGACGGAGCAACGCCGCGUGAGUGAAGAAGGUUUUCGGAUCGUAAAGCUCUUUCGUUAGGGACGAACGUGCUCUUUGUGAAUAAUGAGGAGUAAUGACGGUACCUAAAUAAGAAGCCACGGCUAACUACGUGCCAGCAGCCGCGGUAAUACGUAGGUGGCAAGCGUUGUCCGGAAUUAUUGGGCGUAAAGCGCGCGC
rnacentral:rRNA from 1 species